rnacentral:lncRNA from 1 species
UAGGGAUGAACAAGGGCUGAUUGCAACAGCUUAUCGAUAUUACAGCUAAAUCCACUAACCACCAAGAAAGAAGAAUGGAUCUUAGAAGUCUGUGAAGUGCUGGUAGCUGGAGGUGUCUGAGCAGAUGUGCUUCCUUAACGUUUGUGUAAAGGACAUGAAAAUCAACAGCAGGAAUGACAAUAAUUUGCUCUGAAACAGAUCCAA